UGAGGGAUAUUGGGCAAUGGACGCAAGUCUGACCCAGCGACGCCGCGUGGAGGACGAAGGGCUUCGGCUCGUAAACUCCUUUUCCCAGGGACGAGAACAGGACGGUACCUGGGGAAUAAGUCUCGGCUAACUACGUGCCAGCAGCCGCGGUAAAACGUAGGAGGCAAGCGUUAUCCGGAAUUACUGGGCGUAAAGGGCGUCUAGGCGGCCUCACAAGCGGGAUGUGAAAGCUCCUGGCUCAACUGGGAGAGUGCGUUCCGAACUGUGGAGCUAGAGGCCAGGCGAUGGGGGUGGAAUUCCCGGUGGAGUGGUGAAAUGCGUAGAGAUCGGGAGGAACACCAGUGGCGCAAGCGGCCCCCAAGCCUGAGACUGACGCUGAAGCGCGACAGCGUGGGGAGCAAACGG
rnacentral:rRNA from 1 species